UUACAAGCAGUGGGAGCACAGGUUUACCUGUGUGACUGCGUACCUUUUGUAUAAUGGGUCAGCGACUUAUAUUCUGUAGCAAGGUUAACCGAAUAGGGGAGCCGGAGGGAAACCGAGUCUUAAUUGGGCGUUAAGUUGCAGGGUAUAGACCCGAAACCCGGUGAUCUAGCCAUGGGCAGGUUGAAGGUUGGGUAACACUAACUGGAGGACCGAACCGACUAAUGUUGAAAAAUUAGCGGAUGACCUGUGGCUGGGGGUGAAAGGCCAAUCAAACCGGGAGAUAGCUGGUUCUCCCCGAAAGCUAUUUAGGUAGCGCCUCGUGAAUUCAUCUCCGGGGGUAGAGCACUGUUUCGGCUAGGGGGCCAUCCCGGCUUACCAACCCGAUGCAAACUGCGAAUACCGGAGAAUGUUAUCACGGGAGACACACGGCGGGUGCUAACGUCCGUCGUGAAGAGGGAAACAACCCAGACCGCCAGCUAAGGUCCCAAAGUCAUGGUUAAGUGGGAAACGAUGUGGGAAGGCCCAGACAGCCAGGAUGUUGGCUUAGAAGCAGCCAUCAUUUAAAGAAAGCGUAAUAGCUCACUGGUCGAGUCGGCCUGCGCGGAAGAUGUAACGGGGCUAAACCAUGCACCGAAGCUGCGGCAGCGACACUGUGUGUUGUUGGGUAGGGGAGCGUUCUGUAAGCCUGCGAAGGUGGCCUGUGAGGGUUGCUGGAGGUAUCAGAAGUGCGAAUGCUGACAUAAGUAACGAUAAAGCGGGUGAAAAGCCCGCUCGCCGGAAGACCAAGGGUUCCUGUCCAACGUUAAUCGGGGCAGGGUGAGUCGACCCCUAAGGCGAGGCCGAAAGGCGUAGUCGAUGGGAAACGGGUUAAUAUUCCCGUACUUGGUGUUACUGCGAAGGGGGGACGGAGAAGGCUAUGUUGGCCGGGCGACGGUUGUCCCGGUUUAAGCGUGUAGGUGUGUGUUCCAGGUAAAUCCGGUUCACUUUAACACUGAGGCGUGACGACGAGGCACUACGGUGCUGAAGCAACAAAUGCCCUGCUUCCAGGAAAAGCCUCUAAGCAUCAGGUAACAUCAAAUCGUACCCCAAACCGACACAGGUGGUCAGGUAGAGAAUACCAAGGCGCUUGAGAGAACUCGGGUGAAGGAACUAGGCAAAAUGGUGCCGUAACUUCGGGAGAAGGCACGCUGACACGUAGGUGAAGUGAUUUACUCAUGGAGCUGAAGUCAGUCGAAGAUACCAGCUGGCUGCAACUGUUUAUUAAAAACACAGCACUGUGCAAACACGAAAGUGGACGUAUACGGUGUGACGCCUGCCCGGUGCCGGAAGGUUAAUUGAUGGGGUCAGCGCAAGCGAAGCUCCUGAUCGAAGCCCCGGUAAACGGCGGCCGUAACUAUAACGGUCCUAAGGUAGCGAAAUUCCUUGUCGGGUAAGUUCCGACCUGCACGAAUGGCGUAAUGAUGGCCAGGCUGUCUCCACCCGAGACUCAGUGAAAUUGAACUCGCUGUGAAGAUGCAGUGUACCCGCGGCAAGACGGAAAGACCCCGUGAACCUUUACUAUAGCUUGACACUGAACAUUGAGCCUUGAUGUGUAGGAUAGGUGGGAGGCUUUGAAGUGUGGACGCCAGUCUGCAUGGAGCCGACCUUGAAAUACCACCCUUUAAUGUUUGAUGUUCUAACGUGGACCCGUUACCCGGGUUGCGGACAGUGUCUGGUGGGUAGUUUGACUGGGGCGGUCUCCUCCUAAAGAGUAACGGAGGAGCACGAAGGUUGGCUAAUCCUGGUCGGACAUCAGGAGGUUAGUGCAAUGGCAUAAGCCAGCUUGACUGCGAGCGUGACGGCGCGAGCAGGUGCGAAAGCAGGUCAUAGUGAUCCGGUGGUUCUGAAUGGAAGGGCCAUCGCUCAACGGAUAAAAGGUACUCCGGGGAUAACAGGCUGAUACCGCCCAAGAGUUCAUAUCGACGGCGGUGUUUGGCACCUCGAUGUCGGCUCAUCACAUCCUGGGGCUGAAGUAGGUCCCAAGGGUAUGGCUGUUCGCCAUUUAAAGUGGUACGCGAGCUGGGUUUAGAACGUCGUGAGACAGUUCGGUCCCUAUCUGCCGUGGGCGCUGGAGAACUGAGGGGGGCUGCUCCUAGUACGAGAGGACCGGAGUGGACGCAUCACUGGUGUUCGGGUUGUCAUGCCAAUGGCACUGCCCGGUAGCUAAAUGCGGAAGAGAUAAGUGCUGAAAGCAUCUAAGCACGAAACUUGCCCCGAGAUGAGUUCUCCCUGAGACUUAGAGUCUCCUGAAGGAACGUUGAAGACGACGACGUUGAUAGGCCGGGUGUGUAAGCGCAGCGAUGCGUUGAGCUAACCGGUACUAAUGAACCGUGAGGCUUAACCUUACAACGCCGAAG
rnacentral:rRNA from 1 species